UACGUAGGCGGUUUAUUAAGUCAGAUGUGAAAGCCCCGGGCUUAACCUGGGAACUGCAUUUGAUACUGGUAGACUAGAGUAUGGUAGAGGGGGUAGAAUUCCUAGUGUAGCGGUGAAAUGCGUAGAUAUUAGGAGGAAUACCAGUGGCGAAGGCGGCCCCCUGGACCAAUACUGACGCUGAGGUACGAAAGCGUGGGUAGCGAACA
rnacentral:rRNA from 1 species